rnacentral:tRNA from 1 species
UAACGCAGGCAAUCCGUCCGGGGGGUUUAAAGGGUGUUGGGCUUGUCUCGUGGGCCGGUAGCUCAGCCUGGGAGAGCGCCGGCUUUGCAAGCCGGAGGCCCCGGGUUCAAAUCCCGGCCGGUCCACCACGAAGAGUGCAGCUCUCGAGCAAAGCUCGAGGGUGAAGGGUCCGAGGGAGUGAAUAAC